rnacentral:rRNA from 1 species
CCUACGGGUGGCAGCAGUGAGGAAUAUUGGUCAAUGGACGAGAGUCUGAACCAGCCAAGUAGCGUGAAGGAUGACUGCCCUAUGGGUUGUAAACUUCUUUUAUAUGGGAAUAAAAUGUUCCACGUGUGGGUUUUUGUAUGUACCAUAUGAAUAAGGAUCGGCUAACUCCGUGCCAGCAGCCGCGGUAAUACGGAGGAUCCGAGCGUUAUCCGGAUUUAUUGGGUUUAAAGGGAGCGUAGGUGGAUUGUUAAGUCAGUUGUGAAAGUGUGCGGCUCAACCGUAACAUUGCAGUUGAAACUGGCAGUCUUGAGAAGAGUAGAGGUGGGCGGAAUGCGUGGUGUAGCGGUGAAAUGCUUAGAUAUCACGAAGAACUCCGAUUGCGAAGGCAGCUCACUGGACUGCAACUGACACUGAGGCUCGAAAGUGUGGGUAUCAAACAGGAUUAGAUACCCUAGUAGUC